rnacentral:rRNA from 1 species
AUUGAACGCUGGCGGCAGGCCUAACACAUGCAAGUCGAACGAGUGGCGGACGGGUGAGUAAUGUCUGGGAAAAUGCCUGAUGGAGGGGGAUAACUACUGGAAACGGUAGCUAAUACCGCAUACCAUCGGAUGUGCCCAGAUGGGAUUAGCUAGUAGGUGGGGUAAAGGCUCACCUAGGCGACGAUCCCUAGCUGGUGUGAGAGGAUGACCAGCCACACUGUAACUGAGACACGGACCAGACUCCUACGGGAGGCAGCAGUGGGGAAUAUUGCACAAUGGGCGAAAGCCUGAUGCAGCCAUGCCGCGUGUAUGAUGAAGGCCUUCGGGUUGUAAAGUACUUUCGGCGGGGAAGCGUUACCCGCAGAAGAAGCACCGGCUAACUACGUGCCAGCAGCCGCGGUAAUUC